GCUCCGGUGGCGGAAUUGGUAGACGCGCAUGCUUCAGGUGCAUGUUGCCCCAGGCAGUGAAAGUUCAAGUCUUUUCCGGAGCACCA
rnacentral:tRNA from 1 species